rnacentral:lncRNA from 1 species
CACCGCUCUAGGCUGAAUGAUGACUUGUUUGACUGGUUCCGACCAAAUGCAAGAUACUUAGUCCAGGAAAAACAUUCCCUGCCAGAUUAAAAUGGACACACAGUAGACUUACACUGAAGAUAAAAGUUUGAUGUUUUUUGUGUGACCUAAACAAGUUUGGGACUUUCCUGCAGCUACGGGAUUUUCCUUUACUCGAGAUUAAAUGCCUCUGUGUUACUUUCACUUUCAGUAGCAGAUCUAGCAGCCUACAGGUCAGCAGCACACUACAGUCAGGUCUUCAGGAAUAUUUUCAUCUGCGUCCUGAUGCCUCCAAAAGCUUCCAAGAUCAUAAAAAACAUUACUGAGAACACAGCUGAAGACGGUGAUGGUGAGGCCAAGAAGACAUGCCAAAACACAGUGAGAGGGAGAGGAAGACAGAAGGGUAUACGGAUCAGCCGUACAGAAACACAGAUGGGAGCAGGUACAUCACAAACACAAGAUAGGAUUGGUGUCCUCAGCCUGCUGGAUAUGAAAGCAUUCUCCUCUUUGUUGCCACUAAGACCAGUUCAAGAGCCCAUAGUGGACAUAGAGCCGGAGCCGGACCCCUGCAGAACAUGUCCAGUUUGUUCCUCCCUAUUGAAGCCUGUUCUGGACCCAGCAGGGAAAACCCUGCCGCUACAGCAGUGUCCACUGUGUCAAGCAGCUCAGCCGCUGUGUGAGCUGUGUCUUUACCCGUGCUCAGAUAAAGACACCGCCACCUGCACCAACAACUCCUGCCAGCUUGUCGCCACACUGCUUUCCUGCGAGCGGGUCACUGACCUCACAAGCAAAGUGUAUGGUUGCCCUCAAUUCCGUGCCUGUCCCAAUUGUCACAGUCUGAUAAUGCAUGAGCGAGGGUGCAAGUAUGUUACUUGUACACAGUGCAGCCACAAAUACUGUUUCAUCUGCCUGCAGAAAACAGAAGAGUGUAGAAAGGAUGCUGGCAAAUACUGGUCCCUGACCUGCUCCAAACCACGAGCAGCCAGACAGAGAUUCCAAACGUGAACAUGAUAGUUCACCACAACAUGAGAACAACUGAGAAACAAUAGUAGAUUUCUGUAAUCACUGAUGUUUUGUGGUACCGUAUUUUUCGGACUAUAAGGCACACUUAAAAUCCUUAAAUUUUUCCAAAAGUCGACAGUGCACCUUUUACAGAGGUACGACUAAUGUAUAAAGUUUACCAGUCCGAUAUUAAGAAGCAGUAAGCCACUCCGCUGAAGUACAGCAUUAUAAGGGUGAGUUUUCAGUAAAAUUUCUCCUGCACCAAGACUGAGUGCAGCAGCAUUAGCAUUAGCUGCUAACCGCAGCGCUAGUGCUUUCGCCAUUCAGAGGCGAGUAUAUCAGACUGUAGUCUGCGUGUUUGCUGUGUUAAAACAAGCAACGUGGGACAAACCGCUAGCUGAUAGCGCUCUGGGUUACCAAAACACUCAGGGUUCCUCAGUCUACCAAUAUUCGGUUAGCAGCUAAUGCUAAUGCAGCUGCACCCCCCUUUAGCGCUUGAGAAACUUCACUGAAAACUCACCCUUAGACAAAAUAUUAGAUAUCUUAGCUUACUGUAAAUAAACAGAAGUGCUUUACUCA